GCCCAGCUUGCUGGGUGGAUUAGUGGCGAACGGGUGAGUAACACGUGAGUAACCUGCCCCUGACUCUGGGAUAAGCCCGGGAAACUGGGUCUAAUACCGGAUAUGACCAUGGGACGCAUGUCUUGUGGUGGAAAGAUUUAUCGGUUGGGGAUGGACUCGCGGCCUAUCAGCUUGUUGGUGAGGUAAUGGCUCACCAAGGCGACGACGGGUAGCCGGCCUGAGAGGGUGACCGGCCACACUGGGACUGAGACACGGCCCAGACUCCUACGGGAGGCAGCAGUGGGGAAUAUUGCACAAUGGGCGCAAGCCUGAUGCAGCGACGCCGCGUGAGGGAUGACGGCCUUCGGGUUGUAAACCUCUUUCAGUAGGGAAGAAGCGAGAGUGACGGUACCUGCAGAAGAAGCGCCGGCUAACUACGUGCCAGCAGCCGCGGUAAUACGUAGGGCGCAAGCGUUAUCCGGAUUUAUUGGGCGUAAAGAGCUCGUAGGCGGUUUGUCGCGUCUGCCGUGAAAGUCCGAGGCUCAACCUCGGAUCUGCGGUGGGUACGGGCAGACUAGAGUGAUGUAGGGGAGACUGGAAUUCCUGGUGUAGCGGUGAAAUGCGCAGAUAUCAGGAGGAACACCGAUGGCGAAGGCAGGUCUCUGGGCAUUUACUGACGCUGAGGAGCGAAAGCAUGGGGAGCGAACAGGAUUAGAUACCCUGGUAGUCCAUGCCGUAAACGUUGGGCACUAGGUGUGGGGGACAUUCCACGUUUUCCGCGCCGUAGCUAACGCAUUAAGUGCCCCGCCUGGGGAGUACGGCCGCAGG
rnacentral:rRNA from 1 species